GUGAGACCGUGAGAGGCUGAGAGCGAGUUGGGUCGUCCCCUUCCCCUCGAGCCCACUCUCCUCUCCGGCGCCGCCAGCCAUCCUCCCCGUCCCGCGCCUUCUCCUCCCCACCGUCCGCUCCCUCCCAAAGAAGCAGCAGCCCCCGCCCGUCGCCCAAGAGCCGAAGCCCGCCACCAAGCAAUCGCUCCCUCUCUUCUUCCUCCUGCCUCACCUCUCUCUCUCCCCCUCCAAACCCUAGCCCCGCACCAGCCUCCCUGCCCCGCCGCCGUCAUCUCCUUCGCCCGGUCGGCCGCCGCCGCACCGCACGAGGUGGGAUGCGAGGAGGCAGGCGAGCAGGGGCAGGGGACCAGCGGAGACGCGCGGGUGAGCAGGAUAGCUACGCGACGGAGCUGAACGGGACCUCGGACGGAACUGCGUGCCUGUGCCGGGAGCACGGGCAGACAAUUGGAGACGACGAGGAGGGCUUCUACGGCGUACUCCAGCUCCGGCGAGGCUCCGGUAAGUCCCUCCACUCAUCCACAUCCCAUCCUCUCUUCCUCACCCCGUCCUAUCUCCCUCCCAGAUCUACCACGCAGCUAUGUAGUUCGCUCAGUCGCCCGGACGCCGACGCCAUGGAGGACGCCCCUCCACCCCUGCUCUAGCCUGAAGGUGUUGAUUGCCAUUGUGCAAUUUGAUUCAGUUUUAAAAUAAUGCACGUCUUGGUUUGGUUCAGUUUGAACGUAUGUGCAAUCAAUUGAUUUGAAGUAGAGCUGGAUUCAUGGUGAGAAAUGGAUUUAAAAAUAGAGUUGGAUCCAUUGUUGUGACUUUCUUGUGCAGCAGAGUUGGAUCUUUUUACUCACAACAUUUCUUUUGCUCCGAUUCAGGUUCAUUCUUGUGUAUUAUUCUUUACUAUCAAGUCUGAAGUUAGUGGUUCUUGAGUGAGCUGCGUAAGCUACUACCGUCUGUUAUCUGCUCCAUCUGUGUGCUGGUGAACAAGUUAAUUAAGAUCUAAAUGUGUUGUCCCAGAUCCAGAUGGGUUGGUUUUGAGUUAUUGUUUGGGUUAGAAAAUUUUCAAACCAUGCAUCUGUUAACAUUUAGAGAAAACUACAUGUGUUUAUUUUGGGUUGUAGUUUAGAGAGCACUUCCAUGUUGCCGUGAAUGCUGGGUGCUGCUCUGCCAUGCUUAUUUGUCUCAUUUUGCUUUGUUCUUUUUUGCUUAUAUGGUGAUCUCCUUUUUCCUUAUGUUAGCAGUGAGUUAUUUCUGUUUUUCUGGUUUUCCAUUGCUCCUAAAAUGUACAUCGAAAUCAGUGUGGCUGUAUUCAGAGAGAUGAGCUACUAUGUAGACAUUAUUUGUUUUUGUUAUGUACUUGGUUACUUAAUAAUCAUUCUUGAUAUUGAAAAGGGACAGAAAUAAGCUGAGUAUUGGACCUGACUGAGUAGUGUUUGCUGGUUAACACAUCUAUGUUACUGGACCUGUUCUUUUUUCUUCCCACAGUUUGUCAUCUAAAAUGAAUUAACCUCGGAAGAGGAUUACUCUUCCUCGUUCUGGGCUAGGAAUUCGUUGCUAUGUGAUGCAUCGUUUGGUCCUACUCCAGUGUUGUUUUGCCUUCUUUUACUCAGCUCAUGUUGCGUUUGGCUUGGAGACUACUGAAAUGAAAAUGUGUUGGAGCGAUUAUGUGUUGUAGGUAAAGAAACAAAUUUUCAUUUCUUUUGGCUUGCUAUUAAUUGUCACUUGCGUACACAUGAUUAGGUUGGUCACGGAUUUGUGCAGAUAGCUAGCAUUGCUAAUAUUGUGUGUUGCUCCAGAAAUAGAUCAAGUGAUACUUUAAUUUUUGUUUGUCUAAUGAUUUUUUUGUUACUUCCUUUUGAAUGCUUAGCCAUGUCGUGUUUCACUCAUGUGGAACUCAAGAUUCGAUAGUAGCGCAUAACUCAUGAUUUGACAAGCAGUUAAAUUCCUAUAUUUUAGUAUAUCUUAUUAUCUUUCUUAUUUCUGUUCCUGAACUGAACUUCGCCAUUUUCUACAAAAUUAUAAGAGCAAUGAUGGUUUGGACAAAUGAUUAUGGUUGCUUAUUUAUUUUCUUGGUGCUAGAUUACUAAUGUAGAGAAAUAUAAUUAUAUGAUUUUACCAUUAUUAUCAGAUGAGGAAGUGAUAGGUUCGUAAAAUGACAAUAGUUACCUAUCUCUCAUCUCUACUGUAUUCAUGUAAAUGCCCAUGUCUUUUUCCAUUAUUUUCAGUUGAUAUGUUCUUCACUGGACACAAAUCAUUCUUACUAUACUAUCAGAUAUUAAUAGCACAUGCUCUUUUGAGGGAAAUGGGGAUGUCACUAUCUUUUGGUCUUCUGCCCAGAAAUCUUUAGACAUUACUCUGUUCCAUACACUAAGAAGUUUGAAGUGUGCUGGUUGCCACUCGCGCUGCUGCUCUGCUUGGAGGCGUCGUCGUCGACUGGAGGAGCGCCAAAUCGUUGUCCUCGAGUUCGUGCACUUCAGGAAGAAGACGGCUCGAGGUGAAACGUCACGCAUCCGUCGUGCGGAGGUAGAGCUUGACAUAUAGGUUAGUGUGUGUGCAGCAGCUCUAGAGGGACCAAGGUCGAGGUAGCCACUGCUCCUGUCGAGGCUAGCCUGCCGUAGGGACGAAUCAGGUCCCUAGACCCUUAUGAGCCCUAAUUUUCAUGGAGCAAGGUGCAUCUUGCCGCUUUUGCUUUUGGUAAAAAGGAAUCCCUAUUGUUAUGUUGGUAGCCUCUUUGCAAGUUUAUUCUGCCUUUUUGACAUUUUUUGUUCUAUCUUGCUAUGCAUUGCAUCAUAUUACAGCUGUGUGCUCAAACCAACUGAGCUUAAUUCACAUAUAUAGAUAUUUAAGAAUGUGGGGAUGAUGCCCAAUUGGCAAGGUUUGCAAUAUUGUAGGAACCAUUUGGAGAUGAGUUGUAGAUAUUAAGCUAUGUAGGAGAUGAUUUUGAGGUAACAAGCCUUCAGCUUGCUUUCUGUUAACCUUUUUAUGCAUGGGUUCAGUUUGAUGCAAUCUAGGCAUUGUUUGUUGUCGAAUGGAUUAUUUUUUCCUACUAGGUAACAUCUGAUGCUUGGAAUGCAUUAUUUCUGAUGGCCCAGAAAAAAACUCUUUGUACAUAUUGUUUUGUUUAGAUGCAUACAAGAUGCAUGUUUAUGCCUCAUACCUGCUGAUUUAUAUGACUGAGGAACUCUCUUUCUUCCUAGAUGUGCCCAUAUGCUCUUCAUUGAUAUAGCAUCUUCUUACUUGUAUAUUAUUCACAUAUAGCAUCUCAUUUCUUGGUUGAUUGCUUAUAUAUAUUCAACUUCUCUUUCCUGGCAUUCACAUAUUACAAGCUAAAUAAAGUUUGUCAUUCCUUCUGGCCACUUAUAGAUGUAACUAGAAGCAUGGAUGAUCUGUGAUGCUGGCAAUUUUCAGAUUGCACCCAUUUAAUUAUAGCACACUAUAUCACAUUUGUGGUAAAUUUAGAAAAGCUUGUGCGUACCCUUUUAGUAGUCAAUAUGGUUCAGAUGCAGUAUUUUUUAUUUCCUUUUUUUGCUUUCAGCACACACAUAUGGCAUUGAAGUUCUUUAUCAUGUAUGUAGGCAGAUUAGUUGUGUCACUUACUGAUGCUCUUAUGGUACACAGUACACUAUUAGGGUGUUGGGCCCAGAAAAAGGAAGGUAAUCCUCUUCCAAGUAAAUGAAGCCCAUAGGUGGAGGAAUUUGGAUGAUCUGUAGUCAAAGGAUACCAUCAAGCAAGCGGACGCACAAGGAGGGUCGCCCCGGAGUAGAGGUAGAGGACGUUGCCAGCUGCAUCUCUCUCUGACCUGAAGCCCACCUUGGCAUGGAUGUGAUCAGCGUUGAUCCCCAACAUUGGCAAGCAUUGAUGGAAAUGUUCCUCGACACAAUGACGAACAUCAACCUAGGAACAACCUUUUUAUUUUAUUUUUUGUUGCCUCUACUGUAUUGUUACUGCCACAAAGAUUUACCUGGACAUGGAGCCAUCAUGAUGUGUUUAAAAAUGGUUACAUUAUCCUUUUUCUAACCUGAUGGUGUUAGAAACAUCUUAGCAUUCAAGCAGGUUUAGUUCAUUGUUUAUUAAUUCCAAUUAUGUAAAAAAUCACUGAUCAUCGCUUGACAGAAAAUAUUUUGAUAUGCCAUCAUGUGCAUGGGCGAAGAACCUGGAUGUUAUUUACAUGUUUUGGAUAAUUGAUGAUUCUUUUGAAUGAAAAAAAUAUCAGAUAAAAGAAAGCAUGUCAUAAUGCUUAUAGAUUGAAACUUUGGUUCCUUUUAAGAGGCCCACUUGGAUCCUGCCUUUCCAGUCUGCAUGAAUCUUCCUAAUUCGGCAAAGCCUUGAAACGUCGAUGCUUUUGUGUGACCUAAAUGAUAACUUUUGCAACACCCCAAACUGUAUGCUGCCUUAUAGUUUCAUGACGAUGUUGAACUACAUGUGAAUGUUUCUUCCUUUUAUUUUGUUAUAUCAUGUUUGAAUAGGUACGCUAAACUUGAUCCUACUAAAUUGAGCAUUCACUACUUGGCCAUAGCGUUGUGACCGGCACCCUUGCGCCAAGGCGCGUUUCCGAUCUAGUUAAUAGUAAAGAAGGGAAAAGGGUGCGCUGAGGAAGGAUGAGAUGAGGCUAAUUACGUAAGAAAUAAAAAGAAAAAACGAGAAGCAAUGUCACAGCAACAAGGAAGGAAAGGGAUGGAAAGAGAAAGGAAAGAGGAGGCCUUCUAUAUGUAUAUGCGCCCUUGUAAAUAAGGAAGUAGAAGAGGACGUGGAGUUUCUGUGCACGAGCACAUAUGAGCCCGUUAUCCACAGCGUCGUGUAGCACAUGGGGAUCUGUGCGAGGUCGUUUUCCGUGGGAAUACGGGAGCGUUGAAAUUCCAUUUUUUGUAGUGUGUACGUAUGUGGUCGGCCUGGUAUGUGGGCCAGGCAAGCGAUCUCCGUCGUUUGUGUCCGUCGGCCGUCACCGGGAUUUUCCUGAUCCGUGGAUCAGGACGCUCGAUGUGGUCUUGGUCCAUAGACCAGGAAAUUUGCUUUUCCUCCUCAGGCCGGUACGCUGUUUCUGGAGGCGAGUUCGUGCCCAGGGGAAGGGCUCAAUUUCUCGGCGAUGAAGUUUCUCAUGCAGCCAAUUAGCAGAAUCUCCUUGAUUGAGGAGGUUGACGAGAGCACUACACCCAUGGAUCUGGUGGCGUGCGGCACAGGAGGUGUAGUUCCACUUGCCGCGGACGUCUCCGUGCCUGUCAUGAACGCGGACGCCAGAUCCGUGAGGGAGAAGCGGCUGGUGAGAUCAGGCCUGAAGCGUCAUCGCAGGCAUCCGAGCUCUCCACCGGCAAGAUGAGCCCGCAGACCCCUGGUUGGACUAAAAGGUGUGCGCCGCAAUCAAGGUGAGGAUUGGAGCAGCGGCGUCUUGCUGGACAUCGUGCCCCUCGCGUGUGACUGCGUUCGAGAAAUCAGUAAGAGGUUUUGUAGAGAACCCUACAGAAAAUAUCAUUGUGCCGGCCAUUGGGACAAGUUUUGAUUCGCUCUGGGAGGCGUAUGACUUCUACAACCUAUAUUCAUGAGAGAAAGGGUUUGGGAUAAGAUAGGGCAAGAGCAGGUUUAAUGUUGAGAGGACUAAAUGCAUGCAGGAGAUUGUCCGUGGGUGUUUGGGUAAAGCAGGAGUCGAGAACAUCAGGUCAUGUCGCUGCAAGUGUCUCGUGCUCAUAAGACGAGGACAAUUGAUGGUACAUUGCAGAGCACAGGGAGAGCCGCAAGCGCAACCACUUGUUGUCGCCACAUUUCGGAGAGACGAUUCACUGGCCAUCCCAUAAGCACAUUGAUGUUUACAGUCAGACACAAAACUUGCAUCACAAAACAUACGGAGGAAGAGCGUACGGAAAAAUGGUGUGGUUUAUCAUACGAGGUGACAAUGUUGGACGGCUGUGAAGUGUUUGAGUGAGAAGGCGGUCAGUUUGCACACGUGGGGCUGCAUGUCUUGAAGGUAAAGAUGAUAUGCAGAAUUUAUUCCUUUUGGAUCUGUGUUGUCGGCGGGAGCUUCAUUCAGGCCACUAGUCAAGCAACAAGCACCGGGAGGACUACAGUGAUGUGAUGAAGGACUGGGAGGGCUUGGUCAUAUUCUCUGCAUGUGCUAACUUGAAGUGGUGCGAGGAGGUUUUGAAGAAGCCAAAUCGUGUGCUGUUCUAAGUCGAAUUACCUUACUUGCUGAUCGCUAUACUGGGUCUUUGCUGCAUGAAACUGAUUUUUCUAUAAUAUGGCAGUCAAAUCAGAGACAUCAAGGACAUCAUGCCUGACACAAUAAUGAAGUAGCCCAUGAAGUUGCUAGCUGUGCAAAGGAGUCGAGGAGAUAUGUAUCUCCAAGCAGGGCUUGCCAGAGAGGAGAACAUGUCAGGUGAUACCGUCUUUCUGGUGAUACAAUGCUCGGAUGCAUCCUGGACUGCUGGACCACUAGAUUGUGUUCGAAUGGAUGUGAUGAAUGCACACUUGAUGAACAGUUCCUCCACCAUGAAAUAUACAGAACACACCCUGGAUCAUGUUCUUCAUUGAGAGUGAGGCCCUUUCCUACUACUAGUAUAACCAGCGUCAAGUUUCAUUGGUUGUCAAAAAUAAGGGCUCUGUUUCACUUUGUGAAGACACUCAAACCAAAUAUUCCUCUUGCUAUUUUUCCAUCUCCAUAUGAAACUAUGAACAUAUUUUAUUUUUCCUAGUGCUAAAGUUUGAACAAGAUAAAUCCACUAUUUUUUUGGUACUUUGUACUUGGAUACUAACAAACUGUUUGGUAUGUUAAUUCCAUAAACUAAUUUUAGAAAUAUUAUCAGGGUGUUUUUGUUAUAUUUCGCAUUGGAGGAGCUCCAGUCACGUGUGCCUUCAUUAUGAUCUUGGAGCAUUGUAUCAUCAGAGAGGUCGUAUCACCUGAUAUGUUCUCAAGAGGAGAGUUAUGCAGACCCAUUGUAAUGAUUGUAACCCGCCCCUUGAUAAUAUUUAAGUUCUCA